GCUUAAUCCAAAAAGUCAAAGAGAUGAUGGAUCAAUCAUCAAGCGAAAUCAGUUAAAGGACUACUUUCUAUUGGCAUAUUUAUUUAAAAUAUGUAAUCCAUGAUUAUUAGUCUUAUUAUGAUAUGCCAAAGGAGAGUUGCCCUGUAACUGUUUAUUGCUUAUAUGUUAUUAUGUUACAUACGACCGUUUUUUAGAAGAUGGACUGGAUUCAAGCAAUCCCAAGGUGGCAUUUACUAAGCCCAGUUGCUAACGCUGUUUAUUAUUUAUGAAGUAUGAUCAAAGAAUUAUCCUUACAUUACUACUCAACAUUUUCUGUUCAAAAGAGUAACAAGUUUAAAUACGAAUUUUACAAGUCGAAAUGGCGAUUCCAAUUCAUCCAUCAAAAUUGGGUUUGAUUUAAGCUAGUUUUAUUUUCACUUGUCAUAGUUUUAAAAUAAACAGAUCAAUUCUAUGCAAAAUUUUAAAAUAGAUAAAAAAAAAAGUUAUUGACAAAUCAACUAACCGGUUUUGAUCCGUAUUAGUUCAAAACUAUUAUUUUGAAUGCAUGCUAUCAAGCGUUAUUAAAAGUUAAAACAGUCUACAUUUGGGUUUGAUAGAAGAAACAUUCGCAGGAAACCGUUUCCUUAGUUUUACGAAAUAUAUUUUAUUUUUUGUAUUUUUUUCUCAUAAUUUUCAAUGCAACUACUUUAAUCUUAUCAUUUGUACUUUUAAGCUAAGUGUGGAGAACAUGUUAUCACACCCAAAAUGUUCACCUCGUUAAUAUAGUUACAUUUUUUUUGUUAUAACACUCAACGUACAAAUGGACAACAUCAAAUGACAUGUGAUAACACCUAUCGUUUUUUAUUUCUUUUUUCUUUUUUAUGUUUUUUAUUUCUAUUUUUAUAAUUUGUUUUAUUUUUUUAACGUAUGCCAUAAUAUUUAUAAAAAAACAUAUAAAUUAAUAAAAAAAAAAAUAAUUCAAUUAAAUACUAAUUUAAACAUACCAUUUUAAAACUAAAAACGACAUAAAAGAAAACAUUGACCAAAAGCAUACGAUAGUCCUAAUAAUUUAAAAAACUUAAAAGCGAUACACUAGUUGUCGUCCAAAUAUUUCCGCUCGAUCUUUGCCUUCAUUUUCCGGAGCAAUUGCGCUUGUCUCGGCUUCUCGAGGAAGGAACUCCAAAUGCUCACGUUGCAAGUCAUAUCUUUUAAUUUUGUACGCCGCAUAUUGUGUAAAACUGAGAGAAGGGGAUGUGCUUGUGUUUGGAGGAGUGUUGGAGUUUUGAUCCAUAAUGAUUGACUUUGAAAUUGGUUGAGUUGUACGUAAUAAGAUGAAAGAAAUAGGUUGAAUGUGUGUGUAAAAAUUGAAGUUAUAUGUGUAAUUAUAUUGGAGCUAAAAUGAUUUUUUUUUUCUA